rnacentral:tRNA from 1 species
UUGUAGCUCAGUGGUAGAGCACUUGUUUUGUAUGUACAAGGCCCUGGGUUCAAUCCCCAGCAA